rnacentral:lncRNA from 10 species
GCUGAAUAACAAACAGCCCCAGAAAUUUGUGGCUUAACAAAACAACCAUUUACUUAGCUCAUGAUUCUGUAGGUCAGUAAUUUCAGCUCAUCCAGGUGACCCUUUGGGUCUUGACUGGGCUCCCUCAUGUGUCUAAGGUCAGCUGCCAGAUGGGCAGCUCAGCCACUGGGGGCUUCUGGCUGUCAGCAGGGCCAGCAGAAAAACUGCAGGAUAGCCUGGGCAUGCAUAUAAGGAGGGGGAGAAUUGUGCCUAUUUUUGCAACUAACACUGAUACUAUUGUGUGCCUCUAUAAUAAGACACAAAAAUAUUGAGGGUGGAAAAGAAGACAGAAAUCUUGACAUUACAGCUAUUUCUUUAUUACUGUUCUUACUGACAGAAUCAGUUUCACAAGAAGCUUAUUUUCUUUUCACCAGCCUAAAUCACCUUAGCAUAUAAGAUGAUAUAAAAUAAUAUAUAUUAUUAUCUAUUAUGUGUAUAUAGGAAGAAAUAUAUUAAAUAUAUAGUUGGAUUUAUAUAUUAUAGAAAUAUAUAAUGGAUUUCUAUAUUAUAGAAAUAUAUAUUUAUAUGUUUACUAUAUUUCUGCUUUAAUAUGUAUUUAAAAUCUUUCUUCUCAAUUAUAAAUAUAAUAAUUAUUAUAUAUUAUAUAUUAUAAUUCUUAUUAUAAAUAUAUUAAGAAAUAAAUUUCUUAAUAUAUAAAUAAAUAUAUUAGAUGAACUAAUGUCCUCUUGCAGAUUCACAGAGGAUAUUUGCACAUUAAAGAAAUUAAAGAGUGCUGUAUUUUAAAACUCAAAGACAGUAUUUCCCAAACCCUCAUGAUCAGAACCCCCUUUUUCUCCCCUACCUUUUGUUUCUCACAUAGGACAUUUUACAAUUCCAUGAAAUGUACCUUAGGAAAUACUACAUUAAAUGAAAAGUUGAUUAAAUCGCUACAGAUGUACUUUCCAAAGGUCACUGCUAUAUUGGUGUCACAUGCAUGAAGUGAUAACAUGCUGAUAGGUUUUAUGUAUGCAUUUUACCUUAAUUCAGUAAUUUUAUUUCUAUGAAGGUAAGAUAUGGAUGCACAUUCAAAUACAAAAAUUAGUUUCUACAUGUAAGGUUAAUUUUACAGAGUAUAAAUUUCUAAUUUGCAUUCAUAAUUUGUCCAUUUGCAGAUGCAAAAUUUGGUACCAAAAUGAUCAUGUAGGAAAGCAGUCCGAUGCUGGCAAAAUAAACUACUCUGGGUAUAAUUAGCCACCUGGCAUUCAAUAAGUGCAGUUGACUAACUGGCUGGCUUACAAGUGGAGGCUGGAACUAUUUCACUCUGUUUCCUCCCUGAUACCAUUUGCGGAGAAAAUUUUUUAGGCUUAAUUUUAAGGGCAAAAAUAGGAAUACGAGGAAAACAUAUGAAAUCUCCCAAAAGUAGUUGCUUGGUCAUCCAGGCUAGAGUGCAGUGGUGGUAACACGGCUUAUUGCAGCCUUGACCUCCUGGGCUCAGGUGAUUCUCCUGCCUUAGCCCCCCAAGUAGCUGGGACUACAGGCAAGUGCACCAUGCCUGGCUCAUUUUUGUAUUUUAUUGUAGAGACGGGGUUUUGCCAUGUUGCUCAGGCUGGUUUCAAAAUCCUGAGCUCAAGCGAUCCUCCUUCCUUGGCCUUCCAAAGUGCUGGGAUUACAGGCGUCAAUCACCUUGCCCUAAAAUAAUUUAAUGACUGGCAGAAACUUGUUUUGGCCUAAGCCAUUUAAAAAACUUUCAAAAGUACAAACAACGUAUUUGCUAUAGCAUAUUUAUUCCAUAAUUUUGGUUUUCCUUGUCAGAAGAAUAUAUAGUUUCUCCAUAUUUAUCUGAAAGGGAUAGAUAUUUAACCUUGUUGAGGGGCACUUAAAUGUAGUUCCAUGAUUUAUUUUUGUGUUUAUGUCUUUAAUUUUAAGAUCAGUUCAUUACGAUCAUUGAUUGAUUCCUGCCAGUGGCUUUGGAAAGCACAUGCCUAUUAAGUCAAUAAAGGAACAAUGCUAGGAUGACCUGAAUAUAAAUAUUUAAUUAGUUCAAGUAUAAUCUUGGUGCGGCUUGCUUUCUUAGAUCUGGAUAUGUCUGUGUUUACAUAACCAUGUAAAAGUGGCCAAAAUAUGCUUUUCGAAGUUAUAGGCAGCUGGUUAUGUUCCCUAGUGGCACUCAGAAUUCCCAGCUGUUCUGGUACUAAGCCAAGUGUAACCCUGAAUUUGAUUAGAAACAUUAAUAUUAGAAAAACUGACUACGUGAUUAUGUCCAACACUAGGCAUUACCACAGACCUCGGACAACUCCAAUGAGAAAGAAAAAGUCAAUUGAAUGAGAAAAGAGUAAAAAGAAUCAGAGUUAGGAAGCUCUUAAUAGUCCACAGUUUUACCGAGUAGACAUUAAGUCUUAUACCCCUUAUCCAUUAUGUGCAGAAAUAACAUUACUUCUAUCCAGUGUAUGUGAGGAUGUAUAAAAAUUUACUUAGAUUUUGCAUGAAGUCAUAACAGACAUAAAACACAUACCAAAAAUUUAGACAUUUCUUCCAUAUCAUUUAGGAUAGCUGAGAAGUCCGUAUCAUUUUCAAUGCUACCAAUGGAUGACUGGAA